UUCAAGGCAACUGUACAUAGUGUGAGUACGCCCUAAGUUAACUCUACAAAUUUCAGUGGUGUCACGGUCACACAAGGAAGACAAAGGAGGCUAAAACUUCAAGGGUGUUUAUUCAAGCUUCGUGACAACAAAGGUAAGGUGAAGCAGGUGAAUGGCGUUGAAGAGGGUGAGCGAUCUCACACACAAACAGUUCAAUGGAUAAGCUCAGUACUUUGGUUAUACGCCAGCAUAAGAAUACUCAUUUCCCUUAAAAAGGUGGAUUCACAGGAGGAGAAUAUUCACGGAGAAACAUAGGAGAGAAGACCAUGUGCCUUUGAUUCCAGCCGAUGACUGAGUGAGUGAGAGAUUCUGUAUUCGGAGUGGACUGUUAUUUGACCCGGCCCAAAUGCGGAUCUAUCUGAAGCAAAAUACCACUGAAGCUCAGUCAACUCCACUCCACGUCUCAAGUCCGCCGACAUACAUGGCGAGCCACUGGACAAACUGGUAACAGCGGGAAAGCC